rnacentral:rRNA from 1 species
UACGUAGGGAGCAAGCGUUGUCCGGAUUUAUUGGGCGUAAAGAGCUCGUAGGCGGUUCCGUAAGUCGCAAAGUCAAAUCUCUGGGCUCAACCCAGAGUCGCUUUCGAUACUGCGGUGACUGGAGUCCGGUAGGGGAGUGUGGAAUUUCUGGUGUAGCGGUGAAAUGCGCAGAUAUCAGAAGGAACACCAACAGCGAAGGCAGCACUCUGGGCCGGUACUGACGCUGAGGAGCGAAAGCGUGGGGAGCGAACAGG